AGCCCUAAGUGGGUGGUAAACUCCAUCUAAGGCUAAAUAUGACCACGAGACCGAUAGCGAACAAGUACCGUGAGGGAAAGUUGAAAAGCACUUUGAAGAGAGAGUUCAAGAGUACGUGAAACCGUUUAGGGGUAAACCUGAGAAACCCGAAAGGUCGAAGGAAGAAAUUCAUUCGCGUUUCGUCGCAGGCGUCGAGCGGGAUCGUGUGACGGGAAGCGUUCGCGCGUUUCCCGCGCCUUCCGUUCUUCGAACCGGCGACGAACGCGUGCACUUUUCUUCUGGUAGGACGUCGCGAUCCGUUGGGUGUCGGUCUACGGCUCGCGGUGGAGCCCGUUCGUCGUAUUUCUCGUACGUACGGACGGACCCGCGUGUCCCGGCUGACUCGCUCGACUGUAUACGAAAGGUUUAAGGCCGCUCUCGGAGCGUUCGGCUCGCGGCAAGCGCGCCAGAUGCGUCGGCGAUCGGACCUAGUGCCGAUUCUGACCUCUGGUGACUGUUGGCCGCGAAGUUCUCGAACAGACCUUAAGACCGAUCAGCGACGCUAUAGCUUUGGGUACUUUCAG
rnacentral:rRNA from 1 species